rnacentral:lncRNA from 1 species
ACAAACUUUUAUAAUGAUAUACAUGUAAAAGACUCUUUAAGUUUCUGUUCCCCAAUUCGUCAAUAUUUGUCCAUCCAUCCAAUACUUUCAAGUUCCGUGAGCCGUUCCAUGAUUCUUUUAGUUUUUUAUUUUCUUUUUAAGUAUGUCUGAUUUCUUAUUAUAAAUAUUUAAAAUAAAUAAUAAAUAUAUCUUUUUUGCGAACCAUAGUCCAAACAUAGAUACUUAUGCAUGCAUGCAUGUUCACUUCUAUGACGUAAAACAUCAUAUAUACUCCUAUAAGCAUCUUGAGAGACUAAAACCCUAUAUUUGGUAAAGCAUUGAAAAAAUUGUUUCUCUAAGAAGCCAUACAAAUGAAUAGGUGUUGUGGGGAGAAGUAUGGCUAGAAAGAAGCUAUAAAAAGCAUAUGGCUUUCAAUUUCAACUUAUUUUGGCCAUAAACAGGUUAAAGUUACAAAACAGAACAUCUGAACCGAUAGAUCUCAAGGUUCUCAAAAAUUUCAACAACUAAAUUGUUAAUAUAGUUUUGAUUGAGAAUAAAAUUUAUUAUUAUUAGAACUUGCUUCAACCAAUGGUUCAACUAAUCAAGCUAUAAAUUGAAAUCUUGAGCAAUAUGUCAUCCAAUAUAAUAAUAGAAAAUUAUCUCCAACUUCCAUGCAUAUACCAAUGCAAUCCUCGGUGAGGACUGUCACGUUGAAAUCAAGAGAGUCUCUGCCACAAUUAAUCAUCGAGCAGACCAAUGUUAAACACGAUGUUAACUAACUCCUAACCGAUUUUAAUCAUAUAUUAGAAUUACAUAUUCUUAUUAGUUUUCAUAAGAAAUCAAGAAACUCGCGAUAUCUACCUAUACCAACACACAUAUAGUAUGAAAUUUAAAGGUUCUAAUAUAUUUAUUAACAUGUAAAUAUUUUUGCGUCUUACAAUGAGAGAAAAAUAUCUACCAAGAUUCUAUUUUAGUUUGAUACAUAAUUAGUAGAACAUUAUAAUAUUACUACCAAUAAUAACUUAUAUCAUGGAUGCCGUAGUUAUCAUAAAAAUAAAUUAUAGCUUUUUAAUUUUACAAAAUGGGUAAAAAAAUAAAUAGACAUGUAAUAUUCUCGUUUCGAUUAACGUUUAAUAUGUCUUUUCUCUCCUCCCCUUGCAACGCAUGCGCGUGUUUACUAGUAUAAAAAAAGUGUUAUUGUUAAUUAGCCCAAACUUAGCAAGAAGAUAACAUACAUCAUUUCUUUUGUUCUAGGCCACUUUUGGACGAACUAUAUACCUUUAAAAUAGAAAGUAGCAGCAUUAUAAAUGCUCUAGUUACAAGUAUGUUGAUGCUUUGAAUACUAUUUUUUCUUCUUUGAGGAAAUAGGAGGGGACAGUAAAUA